GAUAAUAUAGCAUAAACAUGUUAAAGUCUCAGGUGUUGGAACUUAUGAUUUUAAAACAUCCACUGACAGUGCAAAAUGUCGACAUUAGUAUUGACCAGAUUGGGCACAACAAACAUCACUUUAAACUUGAAGUGAGUGUAUCUGUGUGUAUGUGCAUGAGAGUGAGAGAUGGACUAGAAACUAUAUGUUUAUUAAGAUCAUUAGGAUCUAUAGCCACUCUCUCUCUCUUUUUCAUCUCUUUGCUAAAUGGAUUAAAAGCCACUUAAUUGCUUCCUUUUCAGCUGUCAAAGAUACUGCUCUAGAUAUUUUCAGUCAUAUGAUCAUUGAACUACUAUUAAUUCACAUGAUGAUACUUUGCAUGAGCUGAUUUAAAUUUUGUAACUUGAGAAGAUGGUGUGUACCCAAAUGUCUUGGACAGAUAACGUGAUCAAAGGACAAUAACAGAAUCAACAAAACUUACCUUUGCUUGUAGGAAGAUUGUGAAGCAACAUCAGCAAUUCUGCAUGAUUGUUUUCCAAGACUUCGAUGAUCUCACAUGGCUUAUUUGGGUUAGCA
rnacentral:lncRNA from 1 species